rnacentral:tRNA from 1 species
AUUUAAGUAGUUUAAAAAAAAUAUUGGAUUGUGAUUUCAAAGAUGUUAAUUAACUUUAAAUU